rnacentral:tRNA from 1 species
GCGGGGGUGGCAGAGAUUCCGGGCCUUUAGCGGGGCUCGCUACUGCACCUGGCCAAAUGCGCAAGGUCGAGGGCCUUGUCCCUUAGUGGGUGCGCGUGUUCAAAUCACGUCCCCCGCA